GACGCCGAUCCUUUUAAUCCCGAACCCGACUUCUGCUCUGCGCGCCCGAUUCCUCUCUUCCCAGAUCUCCCCUCUGCUUGACGCGCUCUCUCUCGCGGACGACUCGAAGACAACGGAACGGAGCUUCGACCUUCGGUGAUCGACAGUGUCACUUGAGGAGGAAGUCUUCGGAUCUCGACGAUACUGGCAUAGUCAAAGCCAUCUUCAGUAAUCGAUACCUAGGGCACGACUGAUCGCCUACUUCUCGCCGGACCUUUUCUUCUUUUCCUCGGCACCACCGGUGUAGAUUUAUUCCCGGAGCCUCAAGGAUGAACUAUCUUGUUCUUCUUUGAUUUCCCGCAAACCUCAGCGCCGGACCUUUCCUCGAUUCCUCCUCUUCCUCUUGUGGCGCUGUGCCCUAGCCGGAUCUUGGAGAGACGUUCGAUUGUUGAGGUAAUCUGGUGGGGGAGUCUUCUUCCGGCAGCAACCAUCUAUGGUUGAGGAUCAGCAGAAAGUGAAUUGUUGAUUGCCUCUAAACCUUACGUGAGAAAGAUUCCAGCAGGGAAGUUUAGUUCUGUGGUGUUCUUUGGUCCCAUCAACUACUCUUUCAUGGCAGUAAUGAUUCUGGAUUGGGGAUCAACAGAAGGGGCUGAGCUUGAGGUAUGUGUAGGGGUUUUGAUACAUGAUGUAGAUGAUUGUUAGAUAGGUUUAUGUGUUGAAUUAGGGAUAAAUUGGAUCACAUUGGUUAAUUGAAUUUAGAAUAGCACAUGUGUAGUUGAAUUUAGAUCAUGGUGUAAUCUGAUCAUUUAGUAGUUAAUUGUGCGGACAAGCUGUUUUGUUUACAGUUUCUUUUCUUUUCUCUAUUUUUGAGUAAUUUAUUUCUGCUCGAGAAAUUUGUACUUUGACACUUUUAUUACUUGUAAGUUGUAUCCAUGUUCUCUUUUAUAUAAUGCUCAGUUAGAUUAACAUAGGGACAUUGCAACUAAUAUAUCUAUAUAUUCUGGAACUCUAUAAAAUCAAUUACUGGUGCUUCGUUGUUACAUUGCACUAUCCUUGCAGUUAAGAUUGGGAGGCCAGGGUAUAGGGUCUCAAAGCAAUUUGAUCUAGAGACAAAACAACGAUCUCUUUUGUUUCAGGUUUCACCUAGCACUUUUAUAAUAUUUUGAUUAAUAUAUCUGAUAUUAUGAUUUCAAUUUACACACAUUAUGAUUUCAUUGAUUCAUGCCCAUCAAGUGUUUGAUUAAAUUUCUCUUCCAUUGUAUAGGUUUUAGUUGAUACAAUUUCUUUAGUUUAAUUCCAAGUAAUGCUUGUUAGUUUAGUGAUUUAUGUUCCUAUGAUGUUUGUUCUUUAUUUGAAUGUAAUUAGUUUAGGUUUUGUCACAUGCUCUAGUUUAUGUUCCUAUGAUGUUUGUUGGAUUCUCUAAGGCACCGCAUUCAUGAUGAGGAUUGGAAAUAUAUAGUGGAAAUGUGAGUUCAUAUUUAUUUUUAUUAAGCAUUUAUGUUAAUACAAAACUCAUAUAUAAAAAAUCAUUAACAUAUGAAGGGCCUUAAGAUUGUUUAAUUCAAACAAGGGAAGGAAAGGUAGAAAAAAGGCUAUGUGGGAAGUAGUAAAGGUAUGUGUAAUUAUAUAUAACAAUCUUCCUUCAUGUGUAUGUUUAUCAUUAAUAAUUUGUAUCUUAUUACCAUAGGCUCCUCAACAACAAGAAGCAACUUCUUGCUUCUUUGGAAUCCAUUAUCAGCUAUGCUUGUUAGUUUUUUCCUGCACUCUCAUAUUUUCAAUGGAUUAGCCAUGGACAUUGUAUCUCUUAGUUCUGUUUCGUGGAAGGUUUCUGACAAAUUGAAUUUCCAGAUACAGUAGAUUUUAUCUCUCAGAUUAUUGCAGCUUCGAUACAGGAAUACCUGUCCAUUUGCUGACUAUUUCUGCUGUCACAGCCAACCCUUUGUUUCAAAGUAUUUUGAUGUUAUUGAUCCUUCAAGGACGAACAACAAUCUUUGACAAAGUUUCAGAACAAGCAAGCGAUUGGUGGUUUGGAUGUCAAUGAGUGGAAUGGUAGAAGGGUCGUCUCUGAACCCAAAUGCCCUACACUCUGUUCUGCAGCAGUUGCGGGAGUCAGUGCAGGCAUUGUUGGAACACUUCCAUCAGUGGAGGCAACAAGAGAUGGCUGGCAAAGACUUGUUUGAGACUGCCUCUGUGGAGGCUUUAGUCAUGAACCUGAGCACCAAAUCUCCGAAAAAAGGCGUGAGGCCGGGUAAAUAUCGUGAAAAACCUGUCCAAUGCAUAAGGCCAAAGUGUACUCCUCGCCGCAUCAUUCUUCGAGGCCGACUAGCUAUUUUGUGCUUUUUUUGUUUUAAAUUUGAAUGUCACUAUACUUUGAAACAGAACUAUUUAGUCUUUGUGUAUAGUUGAAUUCUCCUGUAAAUACUAAUACUUUGUAAUUGAAUUCUAUUGUUUUGGUA